rnacentral:rRNA from 1 species
UACAGAGGGUGCAAGCGUUAAUCGGAAUUACUGGGCGUAAAGGGAGCGUAGGUGGCUCGAUAAGUCAGAUGUGAAAUCCCCGGGCUUAACCUGGGAACUGCAUCUGAUACUGUUGAGCUAGAGUAUGUGAGAGGAAGGUAGAAUUCCAGGUGUAGCGGUGAAAUGCGUAGAGAUCUGGAGGAAUACCGAUGGCGAAGGCAGCCUUCUGGCAUAAUACUGACACUGAGGCUCGAAAGCGUGGGUAGCAAACAGG